rnacentral:rRNA from 1 species
UACGGGGGGAGCAAGCGUUGUUCGGAUUUACUGGGCGUAAAGGGCGCGUAGGCGGUCGUGACAAGUCACUUGUGAAAUCUCCGGGCUUAACUCGGAACGGUCAAGUGAUACUGUCGGACUAGAGUACAGAAGGGGCAACUGGAAUUCUCGGGUGUAGCGGUGAAAUGCGUAGAGAUCGGGAAGAACAUCGGUGGCGAAAGCGCUCUGCUGGACUGCAACUGACACUCAGGGACGAAAGCUAGGGGAGCGAAUGGG